GCGCCGGUUACCACAGCUCUGGGCAUGGACGAACCUUCCUAAUCCAUAGAGCAGCCUCCCCCUGCCCCCAGCCCCAAUGCUCAUGUCAUCCUCCACUCUUUGCAGACAGCAAAUGCCUCCUGUCCCACCCUCCAUUCCUGCAGGAUAAAGGAGCUGCUUCUCUUCCUAACCCAGGCUCAGAGAGCAGGAUGGCCUGACUCAAAGCAAGGCUCAGGAAGUGAAGCCUUGUCCCACAUCCCUGCAGAAAAAAACUGGGGGACAACAGGCCCACGGAGCCUUCUACAGCCAAGUGAGGACCCCCACGCCCAGAGAAGAGAAGUGCUUUGCCCAAGGUCACAGAGUCUGUCAUCAAAAGCUGGAACCACAGGCCUCCCAGCCUGAGUCAAGAGGGCACCACCUCCAGCCUCCCAUCCUUGGCUCCCUGGGCUAGGACCCUGAGCUCUGAAGGUCUCCAGGCCAGGAUGACUGUGGAGGGUUUAUACUUUAUAUAAAGGGUACUAUGCUCCAUUUGAGGAUAUUGGGGAUUGAAUGGUGGAAGAGAGAGGAGCUGGAGGCUUGACCAAAUGCGGAGAGAAGGGAGGGUCGGUAAAUCUCCUGCCCAGCAUUCCAGGUAAGGGGGGGG